AUACAUGCAGUCGAACGCUUCUUUCCUCCCGAGUGCUUGCACUCAAUUGGAAAGAGGAGUGGCGGACGGGUGAGUAACACGUGGGUAACCUACCCAUCAAGGGGAUAACACUUGGAAACAGGUGCUAAUACCGCAUAACAGUUUAUGCCGCAUGGCAUAAGAGUGAAAGGUGCUUUCGGGUGUCGCUGAUGGAUGGACCCGCGGUGCAUUAGCUAGUUGGUGAGGUAACGGCUCACCAAGGCCACGAUGCAUAGCCGACCUGAGAGGGUGAUCGGCCACACUGGGACUGAGACACGGCCCAGACUCCGUACCGGGAGGCAGCAGUAGGGAAUCUUCGGCAAUGGACGAAAGUCUGACCGAGCAACGCCGCGUGAGUGAAGAAGGUUUUCGGAUCGUAAAACUCUGUUGUUAGAGAAGAACAAGGACGUUAGUAACUGAACGUCCCCUGACGGUAUCUAACCAGAAAGCCACGGCUAACUACGUGCCAGCAGCCGCGGUAAUACGUAGCGUCGGCCAAGCGUUGUCCGGAUUUAUUGGGCGUAAAGCGAGCGCAGGC
rnacentral:rRNA from 1 species